rnacentral:rRNA from 1 species
AUACGGAGGAUCCGAGCGUUAUCCGGAUUUAUUGGGUUUAAAGGGUGCGCAGGCGGCCAUUUAAGUCAGCGGUUAAAUCGUGGGGCUCAACCCCAUUCUGCCGUUGAUACUGGGUGGCUUGAUUGCGGUCGAGGUUGGCGGAAUUCGUUGUGUAGCGGUGAAAUGCAUAGAUAUGACGAAGAACACCGAUUGCGUAGGCAGCUGACCAGACCGCAAAUGACGCUCAUACACGAAAGUGCGGGGAUCGAACAGGAUUAGAUACCCUGGUAGUCCGCACAGUAAACGAUGAAUACUUGUUUUCGGCGAUAUAAUGUCGGAGGCAAAGCGAAAGCGAUAAGUAUUCCACCUGGGGAGUACGCCGGCAACGGUGAAACUCAAAUGAAUUGACGGGG